rnacentral:lncRNA from 1 species
AGCCCCUCUCCUCCUCCUCCUCCUCCUCUUCCAACUGGGCCGCGGCGUGGUACAUAUCCCGUGCGCUUUUCAUGACCAGGGUGAGGAGGAGGCUCUUGUGAAGUCGUAGUCCGCCUCUUUGCGUCCGAGAGCUGUAAAGUUUCCCCAAAGCGACGACCAUGAUCCGCUUGGCCUCUGCGCCGACCUCCAUGUUUUUUUGGCUGAGGUGGAAUACUGUGCGUAAGGGGAGGGGAGGGGGGGGAAAGGUAUCCCACGACGGUUGAAUUACUGCCCCGACGACCCGCUGAACUCCCACUCCGGCUGCGAGACACAAUACAGACCGGAGGCACGCACGGCCGCUACUUAUCACCUCGGUGACGUCACAGGCUGUUGGCAGCGAAGGCCCCUCCCUCUUCGAAGGGUUCCGCUUUGGUGAUAUGUCAGACUUUUACAAGCGCACGCUUUGUUUUGUAAAUAAACCAGUGGGGGGAAAGUACACGAGGCACUUGUAGCUUGAUGUAAAUCAGAUCAGUCUCCUGUCAUGUUGUUGAUAGCGGUGUUCUCUUAAUCCCCCGGCCUUAACCGAUUGCAUUUUCUCCAGGUCAGCUUUACCCAAAUCUAAAAGCUUCUCGACUGGAGUUUACAGCCCAUAUAGGAAAGUCGACAUCUCCAUGGAGAUGAGCUUGAGACGUCCCCGCUCCCAAAAACUGUCAGGUCUGAAGAUGUUUGUUUGGACAUUUGUAAGUAUUUACCAACAAUAUGAAUAUGUGAGUUUAUAAUAAUGUAUAUUCUCCAGUUCAUCACCAAACAGGCCGUGAACAGGGGCCGACAGCUGCACUCAUUUCUUUAUUACCCACUCAAGCCAUUAAACUUUUACGGCGCUGUUUAGCUCAAAUGCAUUACGGCGAGAAUCGUACUUCCAUUACACCAGCACUUCACAUGAGCGCACCGUAAGGAUCGAGUAUCAUACCAGAGAACUUUCCUCAAAUUGUCAGUCAUAACAAUAUUUAAUGUUAUGAUAUGUUUCUUGCACUUAUUUUUGGUUUUGCAAAUGUCGGAAUGU